rnacentral:tRNA from 1 species
AAGAAGUUAGUUAAAUAAUAACAUUAGUAUGUCAUACUAGAAUUAUUAGUAUACCUAAUACAUCUUU